rnacentral:rRNA from 1 species
GUGGGGAAUCUUGCGCAAUGGGCGAAAGCCUGACGCAGCCAUGCCGCGUGAAUGAUGAAGGUCUUAGGAUUGUAAAAUUCUUUCACCGGGGACGAUAAUGACGGUACCCGGAGAAGAAGCUCCGGCUAACUUCGUGCCAGCAGCCGCGGUAAUACGAAGGGGGCUAGCGUUGCUCGGAAUUACUGGGCGUAAAGGGCGCGUAGGCGGACAGCUUAGUCAGAGGUGAAAGCCCAGGGCCCAAUCUUGGAAUUGCCUUUGAUACUGGCUGUCUUGAGUUUGGGAGAGGUGAGUGGAACUCCGAGUGUAGAGGUGAAAUUCGUAGAUAUUCGGAAGAACACCAGUGGCGAAGGCGACUCACUGGCCCAAUACUGACGCUGAGGCGCGAAAGCGUGGGGAGCAAACAGGAUUAGAAACCCUGGUAGUCC